CAGUCGCCGCGGGAAUACGUAGGUGGCAAGCGUUGUCCGGAAUUAUUGGGCGUAAAGGGCUCGCAGGCGGUUUCUUAAGUCUGAUGUGAAAGCCCCCGGCUCAACCGGGGAGGGUCAUUGGAAACUGGGAAACUUGAGUGCAGAAGAGGAGAGUGGAAUUCCACGUGUAGCGGUGAAAUGCGUAGAGAUGUGGAGGAACACCAGUGGCGAAAGCGGCUCUCUGGCUCGUAACUGACGCUGAGGCUCGAAAGCGUGGGGAGCAAACAGGAUUAGAUACCCCCGUAGUCCCUGUCUCUUAUAA
rnacentral:rRNA from 1 species